UUAAUAAGUUAUUAUUUUGUCGGGCACAGCCGGGGCCGAGCGGGGGUGGGUUACCUGAUGGAGCGUGAGCGUACGGCGUGUCUGGUGUUACGGUACCGCGGUAAGGUCCCGGGCUUUGGAGAAUCAGCAAAGGCCUUAGAACCCUGUGUCUGGUGCGGUACUGCGCUAAGGUCCCCGCGGGCUCGGAUAAUCCUCGGAGAGAGCGAUGCCGGAGAGCUGAGAGCCCUCCCGCUGCGCGAGUCUGAGAGAAACUCUGAGAGACUGAGACUCUGGGAGAAAAUUAUAAAGUUGGAGCAAAGAAUGAGAGGAGGAGGAGGUGGAGGGUCUGUCGUCCAAUAAAAACGCUUGGCGCUAGUUUUGACAAUGUAUGUGUGUUUCUUCCUCACGCAGGCGUUUGUAUUACAUCAGCGUAUGGGGCCACACUUUUGAAGGCCGUCUCUAACGACUUGGGCCAUACAUCAAGUUGGACACCUUGUCUCCCAGUAAAUCCUGUUUUCAUACAUGACAGUACAGAUAUGGGUUAACAGAGAAACGAUAUGACUGCACCUGGUUGAUAUUGCGGCGAGCGGGGGGGCCUAUUCCUCCUAGGGCAGAGGCACAAGUAUCUUCGAGGUCUUACCCUUCCUGCCAGCCAAAGAGGUUCAUCCAGGCCUUACCCGAGAGAGACUGCGCUGACCAGUCAAGAGAAAAUCUACAAGAGACCUGAAUCAGCAGUGUUAUAAAGCACAUAGCCAACGCUAAUUAAUAAAGAAUUUAAGCAUAAUAGCCCAGACGUACCAUGGCCUAUAGCUGGUAGAAAUGGAGCUAUCCUACGGCCUACAAGAUAAAAGCAUAUGGCACCAAAUUGGAAUCAGUAGUCUUUAAAAGAAUAAAUGGACUAGCAACUGUCUCUGGGGGAGCAGCCCCGGUUAGGUACUAUUAAGCAGCAUUUAGUGACAUGCAUCAAAACACAUUUUUUAAAACUUUGACAGAAUAAAGUCUUAGUUAUUUUAAUAAAUACGUUUUUCAGUAAAUGUUUAUUCACGCGCAUGCGGACAAACACACACCCCGGAGGUCAAACUAAAAAAAAAGUUGAUACAAACUACAGUUGUAUCGGACACGCACACAAAAACACAAAAGAGUUUGCUCAAUCAAAAAAACACCAAACAUAUAUAGUUCACGUUUUUUAUUAAAAUGUAUAAGGAUUGUUUUGAUUUAAAUUAAUAUGAGUGGAAUAUAAGUCAUUUAGGCAACAGGAUUUGAGGAAGAACCUAAAUAGCAGCUAGAAAUGACCGACCAGGCAGGCAGAAGUCUGCUUUUCUUAUCUCACAAGUCAUGGAAGGGUGGGAGGGGGGCCACAUAAGUGUGGGGUAGGAACUGUGGAAUCAGGCAGGGGUGUAAGAAUUUAGGAUAUAGUCUUGUUAUUUUAAAGAAGGUGUACAUGAUUAUUUAAUUACAUUUAAUAGCAACCAGUAAGCUGCAUUUAGCACCAUGCUGCAAAUACACAUUAAAAACUUUAAAGAA